rnacentral:rRNA from 1 species
UACGGAGGGAGCUAGCGUUGUUCGGAAUUACUGGGCGUAAAGCGCACGUAGGCGGCUUUGUAAGUUAGAGGUGAAAGCCCGGGGCUCAACCCCGGAAUUGCCUUUAAGACUGCAUCGCUUGAAUCCGGGAGAGGUGAGUGGAAUUCCGAGUGUAGAGGUGAAAUUCGUAGAUAUUCGGAAGAACACCAGUGGCGAAGGCGGCUCACUGGACCGGCAUUGACGCUGAGGUGCGAAAGCGUGGGGGAGCAAACAGG